AAUCCUCUUGCUGAUUGCAUCCUGUGGUGUCUCGGUCUGGUCUUUGGAGUUAGAGGGUCUCCAUCCCGAGGGAAAGUUCUCCCUGAGAGCUUUUCAUUUGGUGCGUUGGCCGGGAAAGGAGAUCCUCCACCCAGGGACCACCGACCACCCACUGGGAGGUAAGCCGGCCGGCGUCUGUCUGUCUGUCUGAUUUUGUCUCGUUCUGCCUUAUUCUGUCUGUUCUGUGAGCGCUCAGCCAGGUUCUGUGAGCGCUCAGCCAGGUCUGUUCUGUGAGAGCUCAGCCAGGUUGUUUGGAAUUUGGGCGGGACGAAGAAGGAGCUCGGACUUCUCGCCCCGCAGCCCUGGAAGACGUUCCAAGGGUGUUAGGGGCCCGACUUUUCGGGGCCCAAUCUGGGAGAGGAGAAAGAUCCGGACUAACGGCACCUCUGUCUGUAUUUUUGGCUUUCAGAGGGCCCCGGACCUUUGCCACCUCCAUCUGACUUUUUGCUUUCAGUUUGGUACCAAAGCCGUGCAGCACGCCUGUCUGUUGUUUGUUUGACUGUUGGUGUUGUUUGUUUUCUCUGUGUUCUAAUCUUCCUUAGAACUAACAUGGGACAGUCCCUAACAACGCCACUAAGUCUCACUCUUGAUCAUUAGAAAGACGUCCACGACCGGACACACAACCAGUCCGUCGAGGUUAAAAAAAAAAAAAAGAAAAUGACAGACUCUCUGCACAUCCGAGUGGCCCACUUUCGGAGCGGGAUGGCCAGUGAAUGGCACAUUUAAUAAG
ensembl:lncRNA